UACGUAGGGGGCAAGCGUUGUCCGGAUUUAUUGGGCGUAAAGAGCUCGUAGGCGGUUUGUUGCGUCUAUCGUGAAAACCUGCAGCUUAACUGUGGGCUUGCGGUGGAUACGGGCAGACUUGAGUUCGGUAGGGGAGACUGGAAUUCCUGGUGUAGCGGUGAAAUGCGCAGAUAUCGGGAAGAACACCCGUGGCGAAGGCGGUUCUCUGGGACGGUACUGACGCUGAGACGCGAAAGCGUGGGGAGCGAACAGG
rnacentral:rRNA from 1 species